UGAGUUAAAAAAAAAGAAAAUCUGCAAUGAUGCAACGGAGGGGAAUUGGGGUUCUUGUGCAGAGUUGGAAACCCUAAAUUAAUCUUCACGACAUGCACUUCACGUAGUGUUCUUAGCGAUGUCUUUCGUGAGUGUCUUUUUUUCUUACCGCGCACUGCGACCUAAAAAUAGCAUCAUAGUUUUGAUCGUGCGCCAUAAAUAGACAGACGGGUAUCACUUGUAUAAAAAGGGAGGCGAUCCUCAGCUAACUUGGACGUGCCACUUUUAGGACGACGACGUGUCCGUAUACCAUGGAGCGGCCAAUGAAGAGAGGAGCAGGAGCAGAGAUGGAGAGGAGGUGUGUGCCUGGGUGAACCCCCCCCCCCCACCCCCCACGGGAGCCUCCAGCUGUGCGCCACAGGGACAAAAACUACAAACAUGAGUUGGAUGUUUUACAACCGCACGGAGCGGGACAACGAGCGGCCGGCACUCCCUCCUCCUCGUCCUCUUCCUCUUCCUCGUCCUCUUCCUCUUCCCUAACCCCAGGCAGGUAAUUGGGCGGCCUGCGGUGUGUUGGUGGGUGACGUCAAACCCAAACCAUCCUUUAAAUUGCAUUUUGCGUUUGUCUCGUUCGCUGCUUGAGAGCAGAAGUCUGCGCAGAGGCUUCUGCUCUUCUCUGCUCUUCUCUGCUCUUCUCUGCUCUUCUCUGGUCUUCUCUGCUCUUCUCUGCUCUUCUCUGCUCUUCUCUGGUCUUCUCUGCUCUUCUCUGCUCUUCUCUGCUCUUCUCUGGUCUUCUCUGCUCUUCUCUGCUCUUCUCUGCUCUUCUCUGGUCUUCUCUGCUCUUCUCUCUUUCUUCUCGGUUCAACCCGGGCUUUUAAUCGUUGGUGCCGACAGGUGUUGUGUCGCCUUUGAAUCGAAAUCCCCUCCCAGGCGUCGAUACUUUUGCUUCCGACUGGUUUAUGUGGUCAAACACAUCAGUGUGUUAAUGUUACAGAGCAAUAAGAAACGCCUUGUAGUAGUAGAUAUCAUGUGUACAUGGGUUGGGAGUGUUUAUUAGUACAUUUAACCUCUUCCGGGUAUUGCAUGCGUUGUCAUAUCAAUCCGGAUUGCCGUGAUCUCUAAAGUGACCCCCGGCGACAUUUAGCCUGUAAUUGGUCACCUGGAUUUUUUUUUUCUAUUAUUCUGCAGAUUAUGAACUGUGAGAAGGUGCAGAGCGUUCUUGCACUGUGCAUAAAUGCUUUAAACUCUUUUAAAGCAAGCAAGAGCCCCCCACCCUCUCUAUAGAAUAUAGGUUUUAUUAUUGCAGCAAUGAUCAAUUUCCAUUAUGCAUCAAACAGUAGAGUCAACAUAAAGGUCAACCUUCUCUUUUUUUUGCAUCUCCAUUACAUUUGAUUGUGCAGCAGUUGCUCCUGUGCUUCUAGGACAGGAAGUGGUAAUCACAGCAAGUUUGACCAUAACGUUGCAGCAAAAUGGAGGCUGUGGAUGUUUCAGUCACGUGUGUGUGAAUACGACACCUGCUGAUUUCCUACAAAAGGCAAGAAAGCUUUCAGUAAUACAUUAAAAAUGAGCGUUUUGAAUGCAUUGCCGGCUCUUUGUCAGCUUUGAGUCCUUUUCUCGUGUUCAGUACAGCGGAUUUUACCAGAAGUUAAGAGUAAAUCAUUUCCUCAAUCAAAUUACCAAACGACUACCUGCUGGAGCAACACAGAUCUUUUUAUAUGUCCAGUUUUUGAGGUAUAAAGCUCUAAUAUUUUUUGCUUUAACUUAAGACUCAAGUUGUCUCUGGGACCAAAUCUUCAGAAAGACGAUCCAAUGAAAUCUGUCGAUACAGACUCUGCAGUUCUCUUGUUUUGCAUCAGUCAUGUCAAUGAGAGAUUCGCAAGGAAGUCUCGCAAAAUCCUGUAUGUGUGUUUUUUUUUCUUCCAUAAACUACAUGGAGUUCCUUUGAAAUCAUUUAUAUCAUUUUCUUAGUUUGGUGUUUGCUGUGCUGGUCGUUCACUUCCCCUGAUUUGUAUCCCUUGACAUCUUUUAUGGUCUUUUAAUAGAGCAGUUUGAUGUGUAUUUUGAUUUGUCCUUCCUUUGUGUAGUUGAAUGUAAAAUAUUCUAUGUUUGAAGAGAUUGGCUGUGUGUCUGGUGUGUGUGUGUGUGUGUGUGUGUGUGUGUGUGUGUGUGUGUGUGUGUGUGUGUGUGUUUGUGUUGGGUCAAACCCUUCACUACAGGCCACCUUCCCUUUAUGCCAUUUACUCCAUUGCCAAACUUGAGGCUUCAAAACAACAGUCCCCCAACCAAAGGGCGACAUCACAACGACUAAAUGCACCUAUUUUAGGGACUGGGACUUUGGCGACACACGCACACACACGCAGUCACGCAGUAACACACACACGCACACAUGCAGUCACGCACACACGUGACAGAUCAGGGAGAUAUUAAAGUAUUUAAACAUGUGCAAAGCUGGAUUUGCUCUGGUGAAUGUUUUGACCCAAAGUGAAAAAGUCACUGCAAACCAAAUGUUAAUUGGAUUCUUAAUUAUUCCGCCCGGAUUAACAAAAAGUAACACUGUAUUUCCUUUCCAAUACAAAAUAUACAAUCUUGCUACACAUCAGCUGCUUGUAACCCUGACCACGAAUAACUUAUGAUGGGGAUUCACAGGUGAUGAACGCCUUUAGUAGUAUUAAAUCUCUGAGAAUUUUGUGGGGGCCAGGAUCAAAGGUCAUGAUUCCAUUAUAUGGGAAAUGUAUUAUUAUAUGCAUAAAAAAACACAAUAAUGGGAAAGUGCCACAUAUUUUUUUUAAAUUAGGCAGUCGAAACAAAUAGAUUAACAGCAAAAAUCCUGCAAAUACAGAAAUGAUAACAAGGAAAAAACACAAAAGCCUUUGAAACAAUUCAUAUUCUGCACAUUUAUGCUGUAUUUAUUUAGUAGAAAACAAAACAUCAAUUGGAUAAUUUUCUCGAACAGACGUGAAAAUGCUUACACACACGCAAGAAUUAGCAAAAAGGGAUAUUAAGAGAGGGAAAAUAUACGAAUGUACAAAAACAACAUCUUAGUUUCUGGUUUGGGUUUGAUUGGUUUGUCCACAAGAACAGGAAUAAUAAUACAUGAUUUUCUUCAAGUGGUAUUUUCCUAUUAAGUUAUAAAAAGGGUCGUUUACAAACUGGAGGACGAGCUCUGGAAGGCAGAGUUUUAGUCAACAUCACCUGAUGGCAAACCUUUAACAAUUUCUACUUGUCCAGACCUUGUGACAACAACACGACCACCUUGUAUGGAAGUGAUGAACGUCUUCACACUUCACACAAGAGACACGUCUUUGUCCCUUUUUUCUAAUUUGCGACACUGUCUCUCGCCUUCCGAACAUUUGAAGGAAAGUUAUUUCUUCCUGUGGUUAAUGUUGUAAAUUGAAAUAUAACAAACGAUGCUGAGGUUUUAAACAUUCUGCCUGCUUGGCUUUGUGUGUGUGUGUGUGUGUGUGUGUGUGUGUGUCUUUUGGAGUUUCUGGAGGUCUUGAUCUCUUGGUUUUGAGAUACUCUCCUUGUCAGCAUUUGAAUGGGGAGGAGAGAAGAAGGUGUGUUUGUG